rnacentral:rRNA from 1 species
AAUGAACGCUGGCGGCGUGCUUAACACAUGCAAGUCGCACGAGAAAGUUUCUGCUUGCAGAGACGAGUAAAGUGGCGCACGGGUGAGUAACGCGUGGGUAAUCUACCCCUGAAUCCGGGAUAACAUUUCGAAAGGAGUGCUAAUACCGGGUAAAAUUGUGAGGACUCCGGUUCUUGCGGUCAAAGACGGCCUCUCCAUGGAAGCUGUUGUUUUGGGAUGAGCCCGCGUACCAUUAGCUAGCUGGCAGGGUAAAAGCCUACCAGGGCGACGAUGGCUAGCUGGUCUGAGAGGAUGAUCAGCCACACCGGAACUGACACACGGUCCGGACUCCUACGGGAGGCAGCAGUGAGGAAUUUUGCGCAAUGGGCGAAAGCCUGACGCAGCAACGCCGCGUGAGUGAUGAAGGCCUCGGUCGUAA